UACGAAGGGUGCAAACGUUGCUCGGAAUCAUUGGGCGUAAAGCGCACGUAGGCGGCCCAGCAAGUUGGAUGUGAAAUCCCUCGGCUCAACCGAGGACGUGCACCCAAAACUGCUGGGCUUGAGUACUGAAGAGGAUCGCGGAAUUCCCGGUGUAGAGGUGAAAUUCGUAGAUAUCGGGAGGAACACCAGUGGCGAAGGCGGCGAUCUGGGCAGAUACUGACGCUGAGGUGCGAAAGCGUGGGGAGCAAACAGG
rnacentral:rRNA from 1 species